AAUUACAUUACAUUUCAAUUUUUGACACUACCACUUUAAAUCACAAUAUUUGGGGUUAAUCACACAGCAAGGUGUGAGGGUAAUGCUGUGGGUGCUGGUUUCAUGCAGCAAAGUAAAGGGUUAAUUCAGCAUGGUGUGUGGUCUAUAAAUAUUAAUGUAAUGCAUGCAAUACGUUCAAUUCAAUCAAGGUUUGGUGUGACAGUGUGAUUUACAAAUCACAUUAGGAAAUAUAACUUUGGGCUGAAACACCUUGACAGACACACAGUCGGAUUUGCCGGCAUAUGCGCUAACCUUACCCAACCCCCAUAAAGACACGGACACAGGCUAUACUGUUGGAAUAUUCCAAUAUAA